rnacentral:rRNA from 1 species
UACGGAGGGUGCAAACGUUGCUCGGAAUCAUUGGGCGUAAAGCGCACGUAGGCGGCUUGUUAAGUCGGAUGUGAAAGCCCUCGGCUCAACCGAGGAAGUGCAUACGAAACUGGCAAGCUUGAAUAUGGAAGAGGGUCGCGGAAUUCCCGGUGUAGAGGUGAAAUUCGUAGAUAUCGGGAGGAACACCAGUGGCGAAGGCGGCGACCUGGGCCAAUAUUGACGCUGAGGCACGAAAGCGUGGGGAGCAAAACGG